UAACAAGGAUUCCCUAGUAGCGGCGAGCGAAGCGGAAGAGCUCAAAUUUAUAAUCUGGCACCUUCGGUGUCCGAGUUGUAAUCUCUAGAAAUGUUUUCCGCGUUGGACCGCACACAAGUCUGUUGGAAUACAGCGGCAUAGUGGUGAGACCCCCGUAUAUGGUGCGGACGCCCAGCGCUUUGUGAUACAUUUUCGAAGAGUCGAGUUGUUUGGGAAUGCAGCUCAAAUUGGGUGGUAAAUUCCAUCUAAAGCUAAAUAUUGGCGAGAGACCGAUAGCGAACAAGUACCGUGAGGGAAAGAUGAAAAGCACUUUGGAAAGAGAGUUAACAGUACGUGAAAUUGUUGGAAGGGAAACGCUUGAAGUCAGACUUGCUUGCCGAGCAAUCGGUUUGCAGGCCAGCAUCAGUUUUCCGGGAUGGAUAAUGGUAGAGAGAAGGUAGCAGUUUCGGCUGUGUUAUAGCUCUCUGCUGGAUACAUCUUGGGGGACUGAGGAACGCAGUGUGCCUUUGGCGGGGGUUUCGACCUCUUCACACUUAGGAUGCUGGUGGAAUGGC
rnacentral:rRNA from 1 species